rnacentral:sRNA from 1 species
GCUGCUGCCGACGCUGCUGCUGCUGCUGCUGCUGAUGCUGCUGCUGAUGCUGCUGCUGCUGAUGCUGCUGCUGCUGAUGCUGCUGCUGC